CUCUAGCUACAACCGCUCAAAAAAGGUGAAAAGACAGUUGUCUGCCUUAUUUGGCGAGUCUUGGAAUAUCA
rfam:Clostridiales bacterium CHKCI006 isolate CHKC6 genome assembly, contig: {contig108}